rnacentral:lncRNA from 1 species
AAAGUAGUCCUAGGGGUCACAAUAAUAUACUCCGUUCUAGAUUCCCAGGGUUUCGUAAGACUCGCAGUCUUAGAUCAAGGGAAUGUUCGAAAAGGUAAAGUCACGGUAUUUCUAACGGAAUAAGUAAGCAGCGGAAAUAACAAUGCAGCAAAAAUACGUCUAACAGAUAACUAGUCCCACAAUAAUUUUGAUCACCAAGAAUUACAAAACUGAUUUUAAACCCCAAAAACAAAUACUCAAUCAAAAGGAUCAAUUAAGAGCACAUAACCCUAAUUCUAGCACAAGCAAUGGUUGCCAAGCAAUGACAACCCCC